rnacentral:rRNA from 1 species
UACGGGGGGAGCAAGCGUUGUUCGGAUUUACUGGGCGUAAAGGGCGCGUAGGCGGCGCAACAAGUCACUUGUGAAAUCUCCGGGCUUAACCCGGAGCGGCCAAGUGAUACUGUCGUGCUAGAGUGCGGAAGGGGCUACUGGAAUUCUCGGUGUAGCGGUGAAAUGCGUAGAUAUCGGGAAGAACAUCGGUGGCGAAAGCGCUCUGCUGGACUGCAACUGACACUCAGGGACGAAAGCCAGGGGAGCGAAUGGG